UUUCCGUAGGUGAACCUGCGGAAGGAUCAUUACCGAGCUCGUGCCCUUCGGGGUAGAACUCCCCACCCUUGAUUAUUAUAAUUGAAUGUUGCUUUGGCGGGCUGUACGCUUAGCUUACCUGGGAAAUUUCCUGGUAUGCCCGCCAAAGGACCUCAAAUUCUGAAUAUUUGUGUUGUCCGAGUACUACAAAAAUAGUUAAAACUUUCAACAACGGAUCUCUUGGUUCUGGCAUCGAUGAAGAACGCAGCGAAAUGCGAUAAGUAAUGCGAAUUGCAGAAUUCAGUGAGUCAUCGAAUCUUUGAACGCACAUUGCGCCCUUUGGUAUUCCGAAGGGCAUGCCUGUUCGAGCGUCAUUAUAAUCAAUCUAGUCUAGCUAGGUAUUGGGUCUCACUAGCGGGUGGGCCCUAAAACUAUUGGCGGUGCUUUCAGGCUCUACGCGUAGUAAUAUUUCUCGCUAGAGAGCUCUGAAAUGUAGUUGCUAUUAAUCCAAACUUUCUACGAUUGACCUCGGAUCAGGUAGGGAUACCCGCUGAACUUAA
rnacentral:rRNA from 1 species